GCCUGAGUAGUUCAGUGGUUAGAACGCUGCGCUCAUACCGCAGAGGCCGCGAGUUCAAUUCUCGCCUCAGGCA
rnacentral:tRNA from 1 species